UACGAAGGGUGCAAGCGUUAAUCGGAAUUACUGGGCGUAAAGCGUGCGUAGGCGGUUGGUUAAGUCAGAUGUGAAAGCCCCGGGCUCAACCUGGGAAUGGCAUUUGAAACUGGUCAGCUAGAGUGUGAUAGAGGAUGGCGGAAUUCCCGGUGUAGCGGUGAAUGCGUAGAGAUCGGGAGGAACAUCCGUGGCGAAGGCGGCCAUCUGGAUCAACACUGACGCUGAGGCACGAAAGCGUGGGGAGCAAACAGG
rnacentral:rRNA from 1 species